CAAAUCUGAGAGUUAAAAACUCUGGGAGUAGUUCAGAAGUUCUGAGGGUCUUGUGGUUUUUUCUCAUCAUCAUCCUCCCCUGGUUCUUCUGUUUCAUUUGAAGAGGAGAUGAUAUGAUUGAAUGGAACACAAGGAAGUAAAGUGAUCUUCCUCGUUUGUUUUUCAAAAAGCUGAUGCCUCAGAGGAAAAAGAAAGCAAAGCCCUGUACCCUGACUCGAGCUGAGUCUCAGGGGGGCAGCCAGAUGCCAGAGAGAAAAUGACUAUAUAGGUUACCUAGACCAACAAGAGCACAGACAGCCUGUCAGAGACCUCCAUGCUUUAACCUGGCUCACAAGUAGAGCCACCAGAACCAAAGUAGCUGUGGUGACAGAGACAGAGACAGUCUUCAUGAACAGAUGACCAAGAACCAGACAAGAAGUGGAUACUCCAGAGGACACCUGCAGAGGCAAGACAUCAGGGACCACAGCGCUGCCCACCCCCUCUCAUAUGGUCCCCAUGUAAGCCCCUGGAACUGGGUACCAUCCCAAAGGUAAUAGCAACCCCAAAAGUAAUUGACUAAAAUUACAUUUCUGCCACUCUGUCACAAUGGAGGUCUGAAACAGUUGUUACGUUAUAGAGAAAGACAGUUUCAUUCUUUGCAUAACUGAGUCUAUAAACUCAGAUUCACCCUCUACGCAGCAUUCCUUGGUGUGAAAAAAACACAGGAUUCAGAAUCUGAGACUUGGCUUUGAGUUCUGACUCUAUCACUCUAAAGUUUUGUGAAUUAUUGGGAAAUGCUCUCUCACAGCUCAGAAGACUUCUCUGCUUCAUUUUCUCUCAUUCCACUCUCCAUGAAGAGGAAGAACAGCUGUUAUGACCCCCUACACCCUCCAACAGCUGUUACAUCUUCCCUCAAACUUCUGAAGACCAAACAAUGCUGCUCUUUAAAAACCACCCUUCACCACCAAGCUUGCAUUUGUCCAGUGCAUUCAAGGGUGACAAACUCAAUGGACACUGGCAUCCCUGCUCUAAAACUUGACCCAGAACACUUUCAUGUCCAGGAAGAUUUUUUUUUAUUCUAGAGAAUCUAUGCAGUGUACAUAGCCAACUUCCAUGUGCAACCU
rnacentral:lncRNA from 1 species